UACAAAAUCCUACUUUCAAUG
ensembl:piRNA 21ur-1086 ncRNA